rnacentral:rRNA from 1 species
AACGGAUCUCUUGGUUCUUGCAUCGAUGAAGAGCGCAGCGAAAUGCGAUACUUAGUGUGAAUUGCAGCCAUCGUGAAUCAUCGAGUUCUUGAACGCACAUUGCGCCCGCCGGCAUUCCGGCGGGCAUGCCUGUCUGAGCGUCGUUU